UGCCGCCGGCCUUCCUCGGCCCUAGAGCUUUCCCUCCGAUCGUCGAGCAGAGCUGUGCCCUAGCCUCAGCCGCGACACCCAUCUCCUCGGCGCUACCAAUCUGAUUUGUUGUUCAUUGUGCCCUGGUUUUCAUUGCUGAUCCGAGAUUGGGGUUUCCUCAAUUCCAGUCAUCUCAUUACUGAUUGGUUCUGUUGCCAUUACAGAACGGCUGAAGAAGAAUUGAGGAUAUUGAUUCGAGACGGUGUCUUGACGGGGGAUCUGUUUUGGAUACGAUCCUUUUCGAUUGGAGGCGGGUUGAUGCUGUCAGGAGAGAGUUCCAGUUGCUGGUCCCUGCAGACCUCGAGGA